CCGGUAUACAUGCGUGAGGAGGACCCACAGUUCUUCAAGACUUGUAAUGUGGAGGAGUCAGAUGAGCCAUGCAUCGACACUCCUGUUGCUCUUGUCACAGUCACAGAGGACACUGCAGAUCCAGUUCAUUUCAGUCCUGCAAGUAUUUCUAUUGUUGUGGAAGACGAUGUUGUGAUGAGUGAUAUCCCUAACUUGGCUGAUGCAUUUGCAUUGUUGUUUGGGUUAAUGUAUGCAUUGCAUUUGAACUAUCCCAAACUCAUUCACACUUUCACAUUCAUCCAGAAAAUCCUAAUGGGUCUUGAUGAUGGUAAACCACUUAAACCCUGCCUACUGAGUC